rnacentral:lncRNA from 1 species
ACUGCAAAGUGCACUGUGGCUGGGAACUAGAGGGGAAAUAUGAAUCAGAUUUGGUCCCUGCCUUCGAGUAGCUUCUAAUACAGUCAAGGAGAUCAGCAAUGGCUAGUCUACAGGUGUAGCACAGAGUUUCUCCACUGACGGCACUGUGGGAGUAAGCUCAGAGAAGGGAGCGCUGACUUUGGCAGGGAGUCGGGGAAGCCUGCUUGGAGGGGGAGGCAUCUACAUGAACAAUCAACACAAAGCACAAAAAAUUCUAGUCAGGCAGGAAAGCAAGGAACAUCUUUGCCUCCCUGGGAGCAUCUGGGGUGCAGAGAGAGAAACAGCUGUGUUCCCUGCCCUCCUGCCGAAGUGAAGAAAUUCAGAGGUGUUACUUCUCUUAUUAAUCCAGCUGCGAGCAUUUUUUAGACCAGCUGUCCUCCCCAUCCUGAGCCCCUGAGGAACAAAGCAUGGAGCCUCUGAACAGCAUCAUUAAAGUGCUUCCCGGGAGGAGACCCAAUCUGAGUGGGCGAGAAGCUAACAGCGGCACUGGCACCAAGCAAUGUCAUAUAUCUCCAGCAACAAGUGAGACGUGGAAAAAGCAACCCAGAUAUGGUUGGCAGAGUAGGCACAUUUAGGAGAAAUUUCCAGGAAGUGAAAAC